rnacentral:rRNA from 1 species
UGCCAGCAGCCGCGGUAAGACGGAGGGUGCAAGCGUUGUUCGGAAUCAUUGGGCGUAAAGGGCGUGUAGGCGGCUGGUUAAGUCUGGUGUGAAAGCCCUCGGCUCAACCGAGGAAGUGCACUGGAUACUGGCUAGCUUGAGUAUGGGAGAGGGAAGCGGAAUUCCCGGUGUAGAGGUGAAAUUCGUAGAUAUCGGGAGGAACACCUGCGGCGAAGGCGGCUUCCUGGCCCAAUACUGACGCUGAGGCGCGAAAGCGUGGGGAGCAAACAGGAUUAGAUA